rnacentral:rRNA from 1 species
GAUGAACGCUGGCGGCGUGCCUAAUACAUGCAAGUCGAGCGAACAGACGAGGAGCUUGCUCCUCUGACGUUAGCGGCGGACGGGUGAGUAACACGUGGAUAACCUACCUAUAAGACUGGGAUAACUUCGGGAAACCGGAGCUAAUACCGGAUAAUAUAUUGAACCGCAUGGUUCAAUAGUGAAAGACGGUUUUGCUGUCACUUUAAAAUGAUCCGCGCCGCAUUAGCUAGUUGGUAAGGUAACGGCUUACCAAGGCAACGAUGCGUAACCGACCUGAGAGGGUGAUCGGCCACACUGGAACUGAGACACGGUCCAGACUCCUACGGGAGGCAGCAGUAGGGAAUCUUCCGCAAUGGGCGAAAGCCUGACGGAGCAACGCCGCGUGAGUGAUGAAGGUCUUCGGAUCGUAAAACUCUGUUAUUAGGGAAGAACAAAUGUGUAAGUAACUAUGCACGUCUUGACGGUACCUAAUCAGAAAGCCACGGCUAACUACGUG